AAAGGUUUUUGUUGUUGGUUUUGUUGGCAAGAAAAUGGUUGGCAGGUUAUGUGCCGAACCUGAGGAAAAAUGUGUAAAAGUGCAUGUGACUAAAACCAGAAAAAAUAGAUCUCAGUGAAGUGGUUGGCGAAGUCCGUUGCAUAUAUCGUAUUUUGCACCUAUGCCGUCCACUUAACCUACGCAAUAGAUGGUUGUCCACUUCCACGUCCUCCCAUACCAAGUGCCGUUUUCCAGAUUAGGAUUCGGCACUUAGUCAUAUUUUAUAUAAAACCCGGUAUUAAACUGAAUUUAAUCCCCCAGCCGUAAUUUAUAUAA